rnacentral:rRNA from 1 species
GACGGUUUCCUCUUCGGAGGCACCUGCACAGGUGCUGCAUGGCCGUCGUCAGCUCGUGUCGUGAGAUGUUGGUUAAGUCCCGCAACGAGCGCAACCCUUAUCCCUAGUUGCCAUCAGGUAAAGCUGGGAACUCUGGGGAGGACUGCCGGUGAUAAACCGGAGGAAGGCGGGGAUGACGUCAAGUCCUCAUGGCCCUUACAUCCCGGGCUACACACGUGCUACAAUGGCAGGUACAGAGGGCUGCGAAGCCGCGAGGUGGAGCGAAUCCCAGAAAACCUGUCUCAGUCCGGAUUGAAGUCUGCAACUCGACUUCAUGAAGGCGGAAUCGCUAGUAACCGCGAAUCAGCAGGUCGCGGUGAAUACGUUCCCGGGCCUU